ensembl:snoRNA small nucleolar RNA, C/D box 114-11
UGGACCAAUGAUGACAACUGGUGCAUGUGAGUUUUGUGCGAUGAGUACCUGGUGUCUGAAACUCUGAGGUCUGA